GGGUGUAUAGCUCAGAUGGAAGAGCAUUGAGCUUUUAACUCAAUGGUCGUAGGUUCAAGCCCUACUACACCCA